UAGAUAGUCACAGCUGUGCUUUUCUUUGA
rnacentral:piRNA from 2 species